GACCAUAUAACAUUGAAACUCUGGUUCCUGUACGAUCACCGAAGUUAAUCAAUGUCGAGUCUGAUUAGUACUUAGAUGGGUGAACGCUCAGGAUAAUAAGUACUGUAA